rnacentral:rRNA from 1 species
CUGCUCAUGAUAAAUUAAAUAGCCGCAAUACUGUGCUAAGGUAGCAUAAUCACUCGUUUUUUAAUUGAAAACCAGAAUAAAAGAUUGAACAACUCAAUAUAACUUCUUAAAUUUAAAAAUUUAAAUUUAUCCUAAAUGUAAAAAGACAUUUAUAUAAAAGAAAGACGACAAGACCCUAUUGAACUUAACUAAAGUUAAACUGGGGCAGUUAAUCAAUUAUUAUUUUAAUAAAUCUUUAAUACCAAAAAAGACCUAAUAUAAUUAAAUAUAUAAUCAAGUUACCAUAGGGAUAACAGCGCAAUAUUUAUUUAAAGUCCUUAUUUAAAUAAAAGAUUACGACCUCGAUGUUGAAUUAAUAUUCUAUACUUACGCAGUAGUAUUAUAAGAAAGUCUGUUCGACUUUUAAACAAUUACA